UCUCUGAAUUCGAGACCAGCCAGGUCUACAGAGUGAGUUCUAAGACAGCCAGGGCUGUUACACAGAAACCCUGUCUCAAAGAAAACAAAUAUUAUUACUAUUAUUUGGGUAUUGGAUAUCAAAGUAAGACCUUGUGCUUGAGGCAAGAGAGAUGGCUCAGAGGUUAAGAGUGCUGCCUGUUCUUCCAGAGGUCCUGAAUUCAAUUCCCAGCAACCACAUGGUGGCUCACAACCAUCUAGUGCCCUGGCCUGCAGGCAUUCAUGGAGACACUGUAUAAAUAAUAAAUCUUAAAAAAAAAAUAAGACAUUGUGCUUGCUAAUCAGUCUCUCUAAGACUCCAUUACACCCCCAACCUUCUAAGGAUAUUUUAUAAGUUCAUCAUUGCAUUUCAUCAUUUAAAUCUUUCUAAGUCCUCAAGUCAUAAAAGGGCACCUGAGACCCAGCAAAAGGGUUUUUCGAGACAGGGAUUCUCUGAAGGGUUGGAGACUGUCUUUGAAGACCAGGCUGGCCUCAAACACAGAGAGUGCUGGGAUUAAAGGCCUGUGCCACCAACGCCCUGCUACAAAAGGGUUCUUGACCAAUGCUAUGUUUCAGGGUGCCUCGACCUUGUGCUGAUAUAUUUAUGAUUUAUUAAAUCUUGUCUGAGAAUUCAGAAAGCAAAGCCAGCCUCAAAAUAUAGAGAUCAGGCAGUGGUGGCACACACCGCUAAUCCCAGCAGCCACAGAGCUAGGUGGUGGUGGUACACACCUUUCAUCCCAGGACUCAGAAUUAAGAGGUAGACGUAUCUCUGUUAGUGCAAGGCCACACACAAAAUUGAUCCAGUCCUAAAAGAAACAGCUCACACAAAGGUGAUCUCAGCACCUGGGAUCAUACACUUUUAAUCCCAGCAUUAGGGAGUGGAGACAGGAAGAUAUGGCUGGAUGGAAGGAGGAACAAAAGGAGGAAGAGACAGGAAUUCAGAGCCUUUGCUUCUGAGGAUUCAUGGAAACAGGAUUGCCAUUUCAUCUGGGUAGAGGGUCAAACAACGAAGAAAAAGCGCAAUAAAGUCAGCCACCAUAGACACAGUGACAGUGCAGAUUUUCGGCACGUGACUGCCCUCUUGUGACCAGAUGCUGCAACUGUCAGCUAUCGCCCUGGAGGAGAGAAACGUCUUCCUGGCUACGAAUCUACUGUGUUCCAGAUUCCCGUGCGUCUCAGAUCUAAUCCUCAUCCUGUGGGAUGGGCGUUCUUAUUCUAUUUACGCAUGUGCAUGCUUAAGCCGAGGCUUCCAGAGAACAUCGAGCGGUAAAAAACCGGGCGGUUGUUAAGAGGGCCAACUUAGGCAGCAUUAAUGCAAAUGUCUGCUACUGCCUCAAGGCCUUGGGAAAAUGAUCAAACUCUCUGUUCCCAUUUCACUUCUGUUGCUGUGACCAAAAAAGCAAUUUAUGGAAGAAAGAGUUUAUUCAGCUUACAGCCCCAGGUUAGACCGUUACUUUAGGGAAGUCAAGGCAAGAACUUGAAGCAUUGUACCCACAGUCAAGAGCAGAAAGAAAAUAAACGCAUGGUUCUUGGCUUGCUA